AACGUAGGGAGACAAACGUUAUCCGGAGUUACUGGGCGUAAAGGGCGUGUAGGUGGUUUCGUAAGUCUGGCGUGAAAUUUCCCGGCUUAACCGGGAGUGGUCGUCGGAUACUGCGGGACUAGAGGACGGUAGAGGCGUGUGGAAUUCCGGGUGUAGGUGGUUGAAAUGCGUAGAGAUCCGGAGGAACACCAGUGGCGAAGGCGACACGCUGGGCCGUACCUGACACUGAUGCGCGACAGCAUGGGGAGC
rnacentral:rRNA from 1 species